rnacentral:rRNA from 1 species
UACGUAGGGGGCAAGCGUUGUCCGGAUUUAUUGGGCGUAAAGAGCGUGUAGGCGGCCAGGUAGGUCCGUUGUGAAAACUGGAGGCUUAACCUCCAGCUGUCGAUGGAAACCAUCUGGCUAGAGUCCGGAAGAGGAGAGUGGAAUUCCUGGUGUAGCGGUGAAAUGCGCAGAUAUCAGGAAGAACACCCGUGGCGAAGGCGGCUCUCUGGGACGGUACUGACGGCUGAGACGCGAAAGCGUGGGGAGCGAACAGG